UGCCGCACCUCCCUAUUCGUCUGGCUCCCAAAUCCCCCAAGCAUAUCUUCCAUUAUCCAGUAAAAUCUCCGCCCGUGCCUGCAAUUUCUAGGAUUUGAGUGGAAGUCGCCGGCGACGAGUCGUCCGGGCGAUCCGGCCAUGCUCAUCUCCGCCCAUGCCUGCAAUUUCUAGGAUUUGAGUGGAAGUCGCCGGCGACGAGUCGUCCGGGCGAUCCGGCCAUGCUCAUCUCCGGCCUGGCCUGGCCGCGCCUCCCGCUCCCUGCCCGAGUUCCCUUCUCGAUGGAGAAACUCAGCCCUCCGACGAACGGCCGCCACCAUGCCCCCCGGCGCCUCCGCCCGGCGCGGCUUCGCGUGUACGAGCGCACCUUGCUCCUGUCGCCUGCCUGCUCACUCCUAACCGGACGGAGCUUCGCCAGCACGUCGCUCAGCUCCCUCUCCACCCGUCUGGUGUCGCCUGCUCGCGGAUGCGCCGCCCGCCGUCUCCAGGCUGUACGUCCGCGUUCAUGGAAAAAUUGCUGCGGGUAACCUACUAAUAUUAAGCAUGCCGUUGCAUCUCCAGAGAGUCUACAAGCAGUAGACUUUGUGGUCAGUUUGAAGAGAAAGCUGUCCAACAACUUCGUGAUGUUGAUUACUUUGGUGUUGAAGUAAUUUUCAUGGUUAACAACAACGUAGCUUGUGUGCAUGUUUUUUUGUGCAUCGUCAGCAGCUGGAGCCAUAUCAAUGAGAAGACCACGAUCAGUUGUAUUUACUUUCAUUUUAAUUCUUUGAAAUGAAUGUUGCUCCGCUCUUCUGUCAUGAGUUAAAGAUUUGCAGAUUCUCAAUGCAUGUUUCUUUAUUUUAUUAGUGUUCAAGCCAUCGGUACAGUUCUAAUUUCUCCUGUAAAAGUGUUUCAGUGUGUACACUCCGGUGGCUACCUUUGUAGAAGUAUUUCAACAGUAGGUGAGCAGGAAUUAAUGGUACCAUUGGCAGAGAGUUUUGUUGCUAAGAUAACCAUGUUGAUUUCAGUACCACAUGUUUCCUGGAACAUCUAGAAUAGAUUAUCAAGUGAUUUUCUAUCAAUAUUCAUUUAAUUCAUACUUGGGAAGCAUGGUAUUUUAUAUCCAUUGCAUUUCACAGUGUGGUGUAGUUCCAGCUGCUGGUUAUGGUUCACCCUGGGGUGGUGCAAUACAAGAGGUGAAUUUGAUGCAAAGACAGAGCACGAUAUGAUCCGUAAGUACAAGGUUCUCUUGGAUGUCUUCAAGUUGUAGACAGAGUGAAUUAUGUUAUUUGUUUUUCCUAUUAUUUGCAGGUUCUUUUGUUCAGUGAUUUUUGUACAACCGUGAGCUCAUUUCCAAUGCUGUAAAGAUACCUUGUUGAAGGUCAAUACAUUGUGAUUUUAUUGUAUAGUGUAUUUGCUAUAUUUCUUCUUAGCAAAAAAAUAUUUCAUUUAUUCAUGUUUCACCCAACGUUUUCUAAAAUAAAUUACGCUUUCCAUCUUUCUGCUUUUAUAGAUGAUUAGGUCCAUCGGGGUAUAGGGAAAUAUGAUUAAGAAACGAAAAUAUUUCAGAGAUGGACCCAUUCACAAAUCUCUGAUAGGAGAGCCAGGUAAGCUCUUUCUUUUUCUUGAAAUCCUUCACUAAGGUUUACUGCCGCUGAGACACAUCUCUUGUGGCAUAUAGAUGAUUAGGCCAAUAAAUUCAUUUGAUAUACUACAAUUUUUCAGGUUUAUUCUUUGAUGGUGAAUCCAUGGGAACCUUAUGGAAUUUAAGGAAGCAACUGUUAGAUUCUCCUUUUGUUUGAUUUUCUUAUACAGGGAAUGAGGUUUCACAAUUUAAACUAUGUUUUAUGCUUAAUCUGAAUAUAUUCCUUAGUUGCUCCAAGUAACAAAUUAGUGUCCAGUUUAGUCGUUCUGUUGUUCCUUCCAUGAAACUUAACAAAAUUAGAAAAUGUUAGGAAAAAUGAUAAAUAUAUUGUACUUAGUCUGUAGUAGUUUUUUUUAGGGUUAGUCUGCAGUAGUCUUUUUUUUUUUGAGGUUUAGUCUGCAGUAGUUGGUGUAAUGGUUAAUGUUCCUUUUCUCCUAUUUCGUGUUGUUAUUUUUUAGAGCAUGUUACUAUAUCAAGAUGGAGCGCUUUUGCCUACACAACUGCCCAAGUAACAGUCAUCGA